GUCUCUGUAGCGCAAUGUAUAGCGUGUUGGACUUCUAAUACAAAGAUCGUAGGUUCGAAUCCAACCUGGGAUG
rnacentral:tRNA from 1 species